rnacentral:rRNA from 1 species
GGGACACGUGGUAUCCUGUCUGAAUAUGGGGGGACCAUCCUCCAAGGCUAAAUACUCCUGACUGACCGAUAGUGAACCAGUACCGUGAGGGAAAGGCGAAAAGAACCCCGGCGAGGGGAGUGAAAAAGAACCUGAAACCGUGUACGUACAAGCAGUGGGAGCACCUUCGGGUGUGACUGCGUACCUUUUGUAUAAUGGGUCAGCGACUUAUAUUCUGUAGCAAGGUUAACCGUAUAGGGGAGCCGCAGGGAAACCGAGUCUUAACUGGGCGUUAAGUUGCAGGGUAUAGACCCGAAACCCGGUGAUCUAGCCAUGGGCAGGUUGAAGGUUGGGUAACACUAACUGGAGGACCGAACCGACUAAUGUUGAAAAAUUAGCGGAUGACUUGUGGCUGGGGGUGAAAGGCCAAUCAAACCGGGAGAUAGCUGGUUCUCCCCGAAAGCUAUUUAGGUAGCGCCUCGUGAAUUCAUCUUCGGGGGUAGAGCACUGUUUCGGCUAGGGGGUCAUCCCGACUUACCAACCCGAUGCAAACUACGAAUACCGAAGAAUGUUAUCACGGGAGACACACGGCGGGUGCUAACGUCCGUCGUGAAGAGGGAAACAACCCAGACCGCCAGCUAAGGUCCCAAAGUCAUGGUUAAGUGGGAAACGAUGUGGGAAGGCACAGACAGCCAGGAUGUUGGCUUAGAAGCAGCCAUCAUUUAAAGAAAGCGUAAUAGCUCACUGGUCGAGUCGGCCUGCGCGGAAGAUGUAACGGGGCUAAACCAUGCACCGAAGCUGCGGCAGCGACACUAUGUGUUGUUGGGUAGGGGAGCGUUCUGUAAGCCUGCGAAGGUGUGCUGUGAGGCAUGCUGGAGGUAUCAGAAGUGCGAAUGCUGACAUAAGUAACGAUAAAGCGGGUGAAAAGCCCGCUCGCCGGAAGACCAAGGGUUCCUGUCCAACGUUAAUCGGGGCAGGGUGAGUCGACCCCUAAGGCGAGGCCGAAAGGCGUAGUCGAUGGGAAACAGGUUAAUAUUCCUGUACUUGGUGUUACUGCGAAGGGGGGACGGAGAAGGCUAUGUUAGCCGGGCGACGGUUGUCCCGGUUUAAGCAUGUAGGCUGGUUGUCCAGGCAAAUCCGGAUAAUCAAGGCUGAGGUGUGAUGACGAGGCACUACGGUGCUGAAGUAACAAAUGCCCUGCUUCCAGGAAAAGCCUCUAAGCAUCAGGUAACAUUAAAUCGUACCCCAAACCGACACAGGUGGUCAGGUAGAGAAUACCAAGGCGCUUGAGAGAACUCGGGUGAAGGAACUAGGCAAAAUGGUGCCGUAACUUCGGGAGAAGGCACGCUGGUGUGUAGGUGAAGUCCCUGCGGAUGGAGCUGAGACCAGUCGAAGAUACCAGCUGGCUGCAACUGUUUAUUAAAAACACAGCACUGUGCAAACACGAAAGUGGACGUAUACGGUGUGACGCCUGCCCGGUGCCGGAAGGUUAAUUGAUGGGGUUAUCCGUAAGGAGAAGCUCUUGAUCGAAGCCCCGGUAAACGGCGGCCGUAACUAUAACGGUCCUAAGGUAGCGAAAUUCCUUGUCGGGUAAGUUCCGACCUGCACGAAUGGCGUAAUGAUGGCCAGGCUGUCUCCACCCGAGACUCAGUGAAAUUGAACUCGCUGUGAAGAUGCAGUGUACCCGCGGCAAGACGGAAAGACCCCGUGAACCUUUACUAUAGCUUGACACUGAACAUUGAGCCUUGAUGUGUAGGAUAGGUGGGAGGCUUUGAAGCGUGGACGCCAGUCUGCGUGGAGCCAACCUUGAAAUACCACCCUUUAAUGUUUGAUGUUCUAACGUUGGCCCCUUACCGGGGUUGCGGACAGUGUCUGGUGGGUAGUUUGACUGGGGCGGUCUCCUCCCAAAGCGUAACGGAGGAGCACGAAGGUUAGCUAAUCCUGGUCGGACAUCAGGAGGUUAGUGCAAUGGCAUAAGCUAGCUUGACUGCGAGCGUGACGGCGCGAGCAGGUGCGAAAGCAGGUCAUAGUGAUCCGGUGGUUCUGAAUGGAAGGGCCAUCGCUCAACGGAUAAAAGGUACUCCGGGGAUAACAGGCUGAUACCGCCCAAGAGUUCAUAUCGACGGCGGUGUUUGGCACCUCGAUGUCGGCUCAUCACAUCCUGGGGCUGAAGUAGGUCCCAAGGGUAUGGCUGUUCGCCAUUUAAAGUGGUACGCGAGCUGGGUUUAGAACGUCGUGAGACAGUUCGGUCCCUAUCUGCCGUGGGCGCUGGAGAAUUGAGGGGGGCUGCUCCUAGUACGAGAGGACCGGAGUGGACGCAUCACUGGUGUUCGGGUUGUCAUGCCAAUGGCACUGCCCGGUAGCUAAAUGCGGAAGAGAUAAGUGCUGAAAGCAUCUAAGCACGAAACUUGCCCCGAGAUGAGUUCUCCCUGAGACUU